ACCAAUUAUAAACAAUUUAAUAAUUCUUAGAUACACUGAAAAUUUGAAAGUCUUUAGAUAUUUAUUGAAUAGUUUUGUUGUGUUAUGUUCCAGAUAUAGAGAAUCUGAAACAACAAAAUAUAUUAUGUGCACUAGGAAGUUGCGGGAAACAAUAAGCGCAUCAAAUAAUAUGUUUCUAAAAUUUUUAUAUCCCGCUAUUUUUAUACAUCAUAUGAAUAAAUAUCUUCAAGAGCAAUAUGGAUUAAAUCAGAAAAGUUAUCUUACACAUAUAGAGCUAUUUUAUGGUCUGACAAUAAAAGAUCCUAAUCCUGUUAAUUCUGCUAAUACUCUAAUAGAUAAUAUUAAACGUUUAAUUACUACAAUAGAUAAUAGAACAGACAAACUUGACCAAUUAAAUCAAUCUGAAAACUAACAUAAGUUAAUUAUGUCAAUUUUUAGAGAAAACAUAAAAAUAGAAAAAUUUAACAUUUUUAAAUCGUUACAAAGGUUUAAAUUAAAAUACGGGUAGUUUAUAAUGCCUUAAUUUUUUUCUGUAUAUUAUAUUGCAUUACGUCAUAUGAUGCAAAUUUAAGUUUGGAAAUAAACUUUUCAAACUAUGAUAAAAUAUGGAAAGAUUCAUUGUAACAAAAUGUUACUUACUGAUAUAAAUAAUAUUCAAUUUCAUAAACAAAUAUUUAAUAACCCCAAAAUCAUAAUUUUUUAAGUCCGCUACAGUGGUUAUUAGUAGUGUAGGUAACAUAUUUUUUUUAACAUUUUUUAGGUUACAUUUAUUCUAAUUUAUAUAAAAAUAAAGUAUGUAAAAUUAUUUUACGAUUGGUCAAACCUAACACGUGCUUCAAGAUAGUUGAAUAUUUAAAUUUGAAAAAAGCUUUCUUUUAUUUAUCACAUGAAGUAUCCUAUUUACAAUAAAAAAAAUGUAAAGUUCUUUUAUUAUAAAUACGAUAUUUUCUAAAAAAAAGUUAUUAACCUAGUACCCAAUAUUAACAGAUUGUUUUCAUAACUCGAUCAAUUAGUGGUAAAGGAAAAUUAUAUUUUAUUUCUUAAAUGUUUCUAUACAUAUAAUAUGUACUGAUCAUUAAUAUAAUUUAAAACUAAUAAUACUUUUAAAACAUGAAUUUAAACCUUAUAAAUAUUUAACUCAAAAAGUUACAAGAAUAUUAAAUAUUACAGCUACGAUUUAUCGGUGUUUAUGUCGUGUACAUUAGAAAUCACCGGCCUAUUUUUAGAGUACUAUUCUGUUUCAGUGUUUAUUCGGUGUUUUUACCCGUUUUGAAACAAAAGUUUAGCCUUUUCGGUACAUUUACGGUGCCCACUGGGACUCUGGAUGCGAUCUAGACUUCAUCCGGAAGGAGGUAAUCAGCACUACUGCGCCAUUGAAGCUUUUUGAAAACUUCCAUCUCCAACGAGCCCUUUUCACAAAAAAUCCUACAUUCACUAAAUGCGACGGUGUAUACAGUCAGAAAUUAUGGGGCGCCAUGAAGAUUAUGAUGUAGAACAAGAAGAUGAUAGAUUUAUUUUAAUUUAAUAACUACCAGAUUCUAAUGAUGGUCAAUAAUACCAUUUAAAUUUAGAUACGACGAUUGAUUUGAAUAAUAAACGUUACUUUUUUUAUAUUACAAAAAAGAAAAAUUGUUUUAAUUAAGUUAGUUAUUAUUUUAUUCUAUGUAGCUUUUAAUUGAUAAAUGCUUAAUAAACAAAAAAAUUAAUUUUUAUUGAUGAAACUCCAAAUAAUGUUUAUGACAGGAUUUGAAAAAGCAAUUUUUUUAGUUACAAACAGUUUUUAAUUGAUUUUUAUGUUUAUUUUGUUUCUAUAAAAAAAAUUGUCUAUUUUUGAAAUGUUUAAUUAAUUUAAUUUAUGUUGAUUGGAAAUAUAUAAUAAAGAACUUAUA